GGGUAACCUGCCCUAUGCUGGGGAAUAACCUCGGGAAACUGAGAAUAAUGCCCCAUAGUCCACCAUGCCUGGAACGGUUGGUGGAUCAAAGCCCCGGCGGCAUAGGAUGGGCCUGCGGCGUAUCAGGUCGUAGGGGGUGUAACGUACCCUCUAGCCAUCGACGCGUACGGGUGUUGGGAGACAUAGCCCGGAGAUGGAUUCUGAGACACGAAUCCAGACCCUACGGGGUGCAGCAGGCGCGAAAACUUGGCAAUGCGAGAAAUCGUGACCAGGGAACUCCAAGUGGCUGGGGUAAGACCCAGUCUUUUCUUGACUCUUCAAAGGUCCUGGAAUAAGGGGUGGGUAAGGACGGUGCCAGCCGCCGCGGUAAUACCGGCGCCUCAAGUGGUAGUCGAUUUUAUUGGGCCUAAAACGUCCGUCGCCUGAUUGGUACAUUCGUGGGUAAAUCAACCAGCUCAACUGGUUGAAUUCUGCGAGCACGGCCAGACUUGGGACCGGGAGAGGUGUGGGGUACGCUCAGGGUAGGGGUAAAAUCCUGUCAUCCUGAGCGGACCACCUGUUGCGAAGGCUCCACACUAAAACGGAUCCGACAGUCAGGGACGAAGCCUAGGGGCACGAACCGGAUUAGAUACCCGGGUAGUCCUAGGUGUUAACGCUGUGGACUUGGUGUUGGGAAGGUUCCGAGCCUUCUCAGUGCCGAAGCGAAGGUGAUAAGUCCACUGCCUGGGGAGUACGGUCGCAAGGCUGAAACUU
rnacentral:rRNA from 1 species